GCCCGGAUGGCUCAGUCGGUUGAGCGUCCGACUCUGGCUCACGUCAUGAUCUCACAAUUUGUGGGUUCGAGCCCCGUGUCGGGCU
rnacentral:tRNA from 1 species